UACGUAGGGGGCUAGCGUUGUCCGGAUUUAUUGGGCGUAAAGCGCGUGUAGGCGGCUAGGUAGGUCCGCUGUGAAAACUCGAGGCUCAACCUCGAGGUGUCGGCGGAAACCAUCUGGCUAGAGUCCGGAAGAGGAGAGUGGAAUUCCCGGUGUAGCGGUGAAAUGCGCAGAUAUCGGGAAGAACACCCGUGGCGAAGGCGGCUCUCUGGGACGGUACUGACGCUGAGACGCGAAAGCGUGGGGAG
rnacentral:rRNA from 1 species